rnacentral:rRNA from 1 species
UCCGUAGGCGGGCAAUUAAGUCAGGGGUGAAAUCCCACAGCUCAACUGUGGAACUGCCUUUGAUACUGGUUGUCUUGAGUUACAGUGAAGUAGAUAGAAUAUGUAGUGUAGCGGUGAAAUGCAUAGAUAUUACAUAGAAUACCGAUUGCGAAGGCAGUCUACUAACUGUAUACUGACGCUAAUGGACGAAAGCGUGGGGAGCGAACAGGAUUAGAUACCCUGGUAGUCC